AUGCUAUUAGAGCGGACAAAUCAAGGCGUACUAAACCAAGGGGUGGUUGACGAGGUGGCAGAGCUUUGUCAAGUUAAUUACCGGACUGUUCAAAACAUAUGGUCGAGAGGCAAGAAAGCCGGUGGUAUUCAUGGAGUAGCAAACAAAAGGGUGAAAACUUGUGGCCGCAAGAAGAUACCGUUUGAUUUAGAUGCCAUAAAAAAGAUUGAAUUGAGCAAAAGAACUAUGCUCAAAGAUCUUGCUAAUGAGCUUCAAAUGGCGAAGACAACUUUAUGGAGAAGGUUGAAGGAGGGCAGACUGAAGCACCAUACAAAUUCAAUUAAAUCCACAUUGACUGAUGACAACAAGGUGGGUCGGAUUCGGUUUUGUUUAUCCAUGUUGAAUGAGCUAAGUGUGCCUGAAGAACCCAGAUUUAAAGGCAUGUACAAUGUCAUUCACAUUGAUGAGAAGUGGUUCUACCACACUAAAGGUACCCAGAACUACUACUUGGCACCUGAUGAAGAAGAACCCUAUCGCAGCACACAGAGCAAGGGAUUUAUCGAGAAAGUGAUGUUCUUGGCAGCAGUAGCAAGGCCUUGUUAUGAUGAUCAUGGUGUCAUGACUUUUGAUGGCAAGAUUGGAAUUUGGCCGUUCACAUAUCAGGACUUUGCAAAGAGGCGUAGCCCUUACCGAGAGAGGGGGGAAGAGGUAAUCAAGGUUUUGCCAUCGGUGACGAAGGAUGUCAGUAGAGAUUAUAUGGUGAACAAGCUGCUACCUGCCAUCAAGGCUUUGUGGCCGGCUUCGGAAUGCGGACGCAUAAUAUACAUUCAGCAAGAUAAUGCAAAGACCCAUAUUGCUGUGAAUGACAGUGUGUUUUGUGCAGCGGCACACGCGGAUGGAUGGGAUAUUAGGCUUACAUGUCAGCCACCGAACUCACCUGAUUUGAACAUUCUUGACUUAGGAUUCUUUGCUGCACUUCAGGCUCUUUUUGAGAAGAUGUCCCCUGGUAAAAUUGCUGAUAUUGUUGCAAAGGUGAAAAAAGCAUAUGACACCUACCCGGCUGAGAGAAGCAACCAUAUUUUUCUUACCCUUCAGUCAUGCAUGUGCGAGGUACUGAAGCAGAAAGGAGGUAACCGGUACAAGGUUCCGCACAUGAGGAAGUCAUUUCUGGCGGCACUCGAAAUGCUUCCGGACGUAGUACCCUGCGAUGCUGAUGUUGUAAUUGCUGCUAUUGAAGCCCUUCCAGAUGCUUGA
rnacentral:rRNA from 1 species